rnacentral:rRNA from 1 species
UACAGAGGUCCCAAGCGUUGUUCGGAUUCACUGGGCGUAAAGGGUGCGUAGGUGGCCAGGUAAGUUUGAUGUGAAAGCUCGGAGCUUAACUCCGAAAUGGCAUUGAAUACUAUCUGGCUUGAGGGUCGGAGGGGAGACUGGAAUUCUCGGUGUAGCAGUGAAAUGCGCAGAUAUCAGGAGGAACACCAGCGGCGAAGGCGGCGCUCUGGGCCGGUACUGACGCUGAGGAGCGAAAGCGUGGGGAGCAAACAGG